ensembl:lncRNA
GGGAAGGCAAGAACGAGAGAGGAAGUGAGUGUUCAUUACAAAGUGUGCCACGGUUGUGGGCAUGCCCAGUAGAGUUCGACUCACAGCCUGAAAUCCAGCCUCUAAAUUUGAACAGGAGGGAGACGAGGUGACUGAGCAGACUUUUGUUGCUUUCUCUCCCUGACUCUCUCCUUCCCGCUCGCCCUCGCUCUCUCUCCCAACAUAUUAUUUUUCCCCUCCUCCCUCCAUUAGUGAGUGUGUGUGGAGAGAUUUGCGUUUUGCUAUAGAAGAGCAAGAGGAGGUGCAGAAUUUCAGCUAGAGAAAGACACAACAAGGGAGAAGAGAAGUAAAGAAAAUAGGAGGAAGAGGAUAAGAAGUGGGACAAAAAGGCAAGACAGAGCCCACGUUUCUCCUGCUCUGCCCUGCUCCCUCCUCCACCAACGAGUUUUACCUCAAAAAGAGCAGAGGGACCAACUUCAAAAGGCAGUCAGGAGGGAGCUGGAGUGUGAAACGUGAGGAGAGAAGAAGAUGAGAGGCUGACCGGCGCUGUGCUUGCUGUGCUGUCCAGGACAGAAGCAGAGCCCUGGAUCCACAGGUGACUCCUGGCAGUAAUGGGAGUGUUCGUGGAAGAACUCGCUCCUGAAGGCCCGUGAGAGGACACACAAAAGCCUUUUAGACCAGGUCAGGACAUGUCGGGGAACAGUUGAUGAACAUGAGACGCAUAUAACAACCAGCUUCCCACACACCGUGUAGACAUCUUUGUUUUAUAUCUUAUAGUUUGACCAGGACAUGCGUGUGAUCUGUGACAGUAGCAGCUGCUUUUUAAUGCUUCACGUCUCUGUAAUAUAAACAUGUAAAUAAAGUAUUAAUGAAA